AACGAUGUGGAAAGUCAUAUACAGCCAGGAUGUUGGCUUAGAAGCAGCCAUCAUUUAAAGAAAGCGUAAUAGCUCACUGGUCGAGUCGGUCCGCGCGGAAGAUGUAACGGGGCUAAGCGAUGUACCGAAGCUGCGGGUGCAUAGCAAUAUGCGCGGUAGAGGAGCGUUCCGUAAGCCUGCGAAGGUGACUCGUAAGGGUUGCUGGAGGUAUCGGAAGUGCGAAUGCUGACAUGAGUAACGAUAAUGCAGGUGAAAAACCUGCACGCCGUAAGCCCAAGGUUUCCUGCGCAACGAUUUUCGGCGCAGGGUAAGUCGGAUCCUAAGGCGAGGCCGAAAGGCGUAGUCGAUGGCAAACAGGUUAAUAUUCCUGUACUUCCUUAGCUGCGAUGGGAGGACGGAGAAGGUUAGACCAGCCACCUGUUGGAUGGUGGUUUAAGCGCAAAGGAGUGCACUCUAGGCAAAUCCGGAGUGAUUAUCUGAAGCGUGAUGACGAGUCUCUUUUGAGACGAAGUGGUUGAUACCAUGCUUCCAAGAAAAGUCCCUAAGCUUCAGGCAAAAGGAAUCCGUACCCCAAACCGACACAGGUGGGCGAGGAGAGUAUCCUAAGGCGUUUGAGAGAACUCGGGAGAAGGAACUCGGCAAAUUUGAACCGUAACUUCGGGAUAAGGUUCGCCUACGCAAGUAGGCCGCAGUGAAGAGGGGGUUGCGACUGUUUAUCAAAAACACAGCACUCUGCAAACACGAAAGUGGACGUAUAGGGUGUGACUCCUGCCCGGUGCUGGAAGGUUAAUUGAUGGGGUCAGCCGCAAGGCGAAGCUCUUGAUCGAAGCCCCAGUAAACGGCGGCCGUAACUAUAACGGUCCUAAGGUAGCGAAAUUCCUUGUCGGGUAAGUUCC
rnacentral:rRNA from 1 species